CUCCUACGGGAGGCAGCAGUGGGGAAUAUUGGACAAUGGGGGCAACCCUGAUCCAGCAAUGCCGCGUGUGUGAAGAAGGCCUGCGGGUUGUAAAGCACUUUCAGUAGAGAAGAAAAGCUUUCGGUUAAUACCCGGGAGUCUUGACGUAACCUACAGAAGAAGCACCGGCUAACUCCGUGCCAGCAGCCGCGGUAAUACGGAGGGUGCGAGCGUUAAUCGGAAUUACUGGGCGUAAAGCGCGCGUAGGCGGCGAGGUCAGUCGAAUGUGAAAGCCCUGGGCUUAACCUGGGAAUUGCACUCGAUACUGCCUGGCUAGAGUAUGGGAGAGGGAAGUGGAAUUUCCGGUGUAGCGGUGAAAUGCGUAGAUAUCGGAAGGAACACCAGUGGCGAAGGCGACUUCCUGGCCCAAUACUGACGCUGAGGUGCGAAAGCGUGGGUAGCGAACAGGAUUAGAUACCCUGGUAGUCCACGCCGUAAACGAUGAGAACUAGAUGUCGGGAGGAUUUACCUUUCGGUGUCGCAGCUAACGCGUUAAGUUCUCCGCCUGGGGAGUACGCCGGCAACGGUAAAACUCAAAGGAAUUGACGG
rnacentral:rRNA from 1 species